GGAACUAGAUCAUCAUCACCAUCGAGCUGGGUGGGUUGCAGACAUGUGCAGUCAUAGUCAUGGUCCAUAUUGACCGAAGAAGGAUGGAAAGAAGUCUUGGACGUAGCAUUAGCGGAGGAACUCCGAGCCUUGUUCACGUCAAGGGGCACGCCAAAAAUCAUUCCUUCUUGGAACCCUGUAUUGUCCAUAUGAUGACACCAAUUACAAAUGGUAAAUGUACUGGACACGUUUUCUGGGAUAUUUCACUGCAAGAUUCAAUGACUGUCAGAGGAUCAAAGAUGUCUCCAGGACACCAUCACCUUGACUCCCAUUGGGGAGCUCUUUGGCACAGCACAGUGAGCAGUGACACUGCAGAGGAAGAGUAAAGGGGCAGGCUAAAAUAAAAUGCAAUGCCUGGGAGAUCCAUGAGGGAACACCAAGACCCCAUCACCUUCAUUGACACCGGGAGUGCUCUGCUGCAUUACUGAGAACCACAAGAAAGCGCCAGGGCACGAUCACCUUGACUACCACUGGGGAGGUCUUUGGCGCAGCACCUUGAGCUGUGGCACGGCAGUAGAAGAGUAAAAUGCUGGGAGCUAAGUGAGAAGCCACUUUGAAGGAAAAGUUGAAUGAAGCGCAUGUCCACACUUGUAUUACUGUUAUUUGCUUUGUUUGAACUACCUUUAUAUUUUUUGGUCUACUGAUUUGUCAGUACUACAACCAUUCCAAGUGCCAAACAGACUGGACAGAUGGUCAAAUUUUGUUAGCACAUUAUCUUUUAUGUAUUGUUUUUGAAGCGGUUUCUCUCUAGUAUCAAAUUAUUUUUCUUUUCGGGUAGUUGUGGUCAAAGAAUCUAUUCUCUGCAGAGAGUACAACAGGCUGGCCUGUGGCUGAAAUGUACACUGACGUUAUGAGGACCACUUCUGUUAACAACAGGACAGCCUUCUUUGCACCCUCCUGUUUCAUAGCCUUGACAGAAACUAAUUACCUGCAUAUAUUUUGUCAAUGUAGGUCAGUGGUGUAAAACAUUUAUUUUUUUGGGUCACAGGCCACAUUUGGUUAAUGCUUGUAAUAGUGCAACGUUAUGAUUAAUGAUAAUUGAAAAUUACGGGACAGAUUUUUAACAAAAAUCGUGGAGGUUAAUACACAUUUUCCCCGCAUCCUCAUAAAAGCAGGCUGCAUCCUGAUCUGGCCCUGGGCCUUGAGUUAUGACACCAGUGCUUUGGGUGGUGUAAUUUCAACAGUUAAUGUCUAUCCACAAGGACCAUUAACUGUUUGUUGAGGGAACUCAGCUGUUGCUGUUGUUGCCACUGGUGUUGUUGAUGGUCAUCUGGACUGGUCAUCUUGGUCUCGUGGCAAGAUAACAGCUACAUAACAGGCAUCAUCUUGGUUGAGUCUCAAGAUGACGUCUCUUGCAUGGGCGUCGUCUUGGUCAUUGCCGUGGCUGUUUGGGUUGACCGCUGGCUUUCUGCGAUCUGCAUGUGAGGGUUGCGCCACACGCUGAGAGCCAACGUAUUACUGCACUUUCGGUUGAUGGGGCCGUUUUUUUCUUAGGCAUGCAUUGGUUUAUCUUUAGGUCAAUAAUCUGAACAUGCUGUCUUGGAUUGGUUCUUUUCCUCUAUUACACACCACGAAGACUAAUUGUACUAAAACUUUGGCAGAGUAUUACUAUGAGGCUUCCAGAGGUGGUGUCUUCUCCCCCCCCCCCCCCCCUUGCAUCUGGCUCAGCCUAUUAUGCCUUGUUUGUAGAUUUUCCUUCACAGUGUCAGGUUGACGCUGUCGCGAAGACUAAUAUAAGUGUUUGGCAAAGUGUUACUGUCAGGCUUCCAGGUUUGCUAUCCCCUACCCUUGUGCAUCCGGCUCUGGCGCUUAUACCCUGGCUGUUAGGUUUCAUUGAUGAUGGCAGGAUGAGUCUGUCACGAAGACUUCUUCCUCUUUUUUUUCUCUCAGUAUGCCAAUUGUACUAAAUGUUUGGCAGAGUGUUACUGGCAGGCUUCCAGGUUUGCUGUCCCCUGCCCUUGUGAAUCCGGCUCAGGCGAUUAUGCCUUGGCUGUCAGGAUGUGUUUGUCAUGAAGACUAAUCAUACUAAAUGUAGGUUAGCAUCAUUGAGGAUCAAUGCUUUGGGAUACUUUACAUUUAUGAUUUUAGACACACAGCAGAACCUCCAUCUCCACAAAGGCUGUCCGUUCUUGUAGAAAACUUCAUUACUAGUCAUAUUUUUCUCUUUGAGCGACCUCUGUCUAAAGCAUUUCCAAUAUACUUGUUCCAAUACAAUUGGGUUUUGACCAUGCGCCUGUGGACAUCAACAAGCACACUGAACUACGGCAACCCAAACUAAGACAAACUUUCUCUCCGUCAUUAGCAUAGCCCGCACGGCAGAAAUCAGAUGUACAGUAUGUUAUGAGGGCUCCACGAGACAUAUGCAAGCACCAAAAGAGGCACAUAGGUGGGCGAGUCAUAGGGUUCGUGACUGCUGCUGUAAACCUUUCAGUAAGCAGUCGUUAAUGUCCCUGCCAGCAUUUUUUGGCGAGUUGGAUGUCUUUGCCUAAUGUUUUGGGUUGUGGAAGACUGUCCUUUGUUGUAAAAUCUGAGCAGAGGGUCUCAAAUGUCGUGACUCUGCUAAGGCGUCCAGGCAGUG